rnacentral:lncRNA from 1 species
AUCACCUGUAUGUGAGCACUUGUUUUUGACAAUUCAAGAAAGAGACUGGAGAACCGGAAGAGAUUUUGGAAGUUCAAACUACAGCAACAGCUAAAGAAGACUAAGAUAGCUAUUGUGUGCUUCAAUGUACUGCUGUGAAAUUCCUCUGCACAACACCUUGGAAGUUACAUGGAGAAGACACAGAAUCCAAAUUCCUGAAUCACUGGAGGAAAGCUGCUGGGUGAUCACCUAUCUGACAUUUCCAGUGAGACUUGAGGUCUAGCUAUGGUGUCACUACAUUCAUGAUCAUAUUGUUCUUGUCUGAGGCCAGUUCCCUUGGAAUAGCCUGAAAACCUGAUGUGGAAAGUUACAGAUCCUCAUGAAUUAAGUGGCUAACUGAAAAAACUACAUGGAAUAAAGAAACAGAUUUGUGAGAUAUCUGAAGCUAG